GAUCACCAAACUUAUAGCGGACAUGGAGACCUGGGCGGACAAACCAAUAUCAUGGAUCGGGAGAAUUCACUCGGUCAAGAUGAAUAUCUUACCCCGGAUCCUCUUCCUCUUUCAAGCCCUACCCAUUCCCAUAACGAAGAAUGACCUAAAGCCAUUACAGCGGGCUAUCGACCGCUUCAUCUGGCACAACAAGAGACACAGGGUAGCCCGCAAUAUACUAUACUGCCCCAAAGCGAGAGGAG